CGCCACCUUCAACCUCCGGCCGCCGCAGUUCUAAACGAUUGUUGUUCGAGGAAAUUUUGUUUUGAACCAUCCUUCAAUUCUGAUUUCUUAAAGGUUUCAUUCUACGGUGGUUAUUCUUCAGUGUUACUACGAGAAAGGUAUUUUAUUUUGUCCUCUUUGGUCUCUUUUUUUGUUGAGGGCUUUACAAUCAAUGGCGAAGCCAGCACCCGGCAAGGACGGGCAGCUGCCCGGGCUCUUCCUUCCUCUAUCUCGGUGGAAAAAGCGAUUGUGGUUUGGUUUCUUCUUCCUCUAACUCGAUUCUCAAAAGCUGCUACCGCAAAAAUCACCACCGCUAAGUAA